UACGUAGGGGGCAAGCGUUGUCCGGAAUUAUUGGGCGUAAAGAGCGCGUAGGCGGUCCGAUAAGUCGGCUGUGAAAGUCCAGGGCUCAACCCUGGAAAGCCGGUGGAUACUGUCGGGCUAGAGUCCGGAAGAGGCGAGUGGAAUUCCUGGUGUAGCGGUGGAAUGCGCAGAUAUCAGGAGGAACACCGAUAGCGAAGGCAGCUCGCUGGGACGGUACUGACGCUGAGGUGCGAAAGCGUGGGGAGCGAACAGG
rnacentral:rRNA from 1 species